rnacentral:rRNA from 1 species
UGGGGAAUAUUGGACAAUGGGCGCAAGCCUGAUCCAGCCAUACCGCGUGGGUGAAGAAGGCCUUCGGGUUGUAAAGCCCUUUUGUUGGGAAAGAAAUCCAGCCGGCUAAUACCUGGUUGGGAUGACGGUACCCAAAGAAUAAGCACCGGCUAACUUCGUGCCAGCAGCCGCGGUAAUACGAAGGGUGCAAGCGUUACUCGGAAUUACUGGGCGUAAAGCGUGCGUAGGUGGUCGUUUAAGUCCGUUGUGAAAGUCCUGGGCUCAACCUGGGAACUGCAGUGGAUACUGGGCGACUAGAGUGUGGUAGAGGGUAGCGGAAUUCCUGGUGUAGCAGUGAAAUGCGUAGAGAUCAGGAGGAACAUCCAUGGCGAAGGCAGCUACCUGGACCAACACUGACACUGAGGCACGAAAGCGUGGGGAGCAAACAGGAUUAGAUACCCUGGUAGUCCACGCCCUAAACGAUGCGAACUGGAUGUUGGGUGCAAUUUGGCACGCAGUAUCGAAGCUAACGCGUUAAGUUCGCCGCCUGGGGAGUACGGUCGCAAGACUGAAACUUAAAUGAAUUGAC